GCGCCGGUGGUGUAAGGCGAACAUCGCUGCCCGGAAAGCUGAAGAUGCGGGUUCGAGUCCCGCCUGGCGCA
rfam:Heligmosomoides polygyrus genome assembly, scaffold: HPBE_scaffold0003140